rnacentral:lncRNA from 1 species
AAGGAGUAUGUAUUGACAUGUAUUGAAAUAUUACAAACAUAAUUCCUUUUUUUCUUCCUUUUAUCCUUCUAUUUUUUCUUCCUCUUAUCCUUCUAUUUUUUCAUUCCUUUUUUUUUCUUUUAUAUUUUCUUUUUCUAUUUUUUUUUCUUUUUCUGCCAUCUUCUGAAAUAUUACAAACAUAAUUAUUCAACCCCACACAACUCCAAACAAGACUCGUUCAACCCUUUGAGUAGGGUGAUAAUAUUGUUUUUCACUUCUCGGCUUGUAAUGAGUUUUAAACAAAAAAGGGAGAAUAGACUCAAGGGGGUUUCAAACAAGGGAUGAAAUUAUUUCAGGGUUGGCUUUUUGGCUAACUGGAUAAAAAAAACAAAAAAAAAACAAAAACAAAAUUGCCUUUAUCAUAUUAGUGUGUAC